UACAGAGGGUGCAAACGUUGUUCGGAAUUACUGGGCGUAAAGCGUGUGUAGGCGGCCACGUAAGUCGGAUGUGAAAGCCCCGGGCUCAACCCGGGAAGUGCACUCGAUACUGCGUGGCUUGAGUACUGGAGAGGUUGGUGGAAUUCUCGGUGUAGAGGUGAAAUUCGUAGAUAUCGAGAGGAACACCGGUGGCGAAGGCGGCCAACUGGACAGAUACUGACGCUGAGACACGAAAGCGUGGGGAGCAAACAGG
rnacentral:rRNA from 1 species